GUGCGUGUUAUAGAGCGAAAAAUACGGGGUGUGUGUGUGUGUGUGUGUGUAUAUAUAUAUACACACACACACACACACCGUAUUUUUUGCACCAUAAC